rnacentral:rRNA from 1 species
CGUUCCCGGGUCUUGUACACACCGCCCGUCACACCAUGGGAGCGGGAUGUACCAGAAGUAGGUAGGCUAACCGUAAGGGGGCCGCUUACCACGGUGCGUUUCGUGACUGGGGUG